UACGUAGGGUGCGAGCGUUGUCCGGAAUUAUUGGGCGUAAAGAGCUUGUAGGCGGUUUGUCGCGUCUGCCGUGAAAAUUCGAGGCUCAACCUCGAACUUGCGGUGGGUACGGGCAGACUAGAGUGUGGUAGGGGAGACUGGAAUUCCUGGUGUAGCGGUGAAAUGCGCAGAUAUCAGGAGGAACACCGAUGGCGAAGGCAGGUCUCUGGGCCAUUACUGACGCUGAGGAGCGAAAGCGUGGGGAGCGAACAGG
rnacentral:rRNA from 1 species